rnacentral:misc_RNA from 1 species
UAGGUAGACGAGGACUGUAAAUGCAUACCGACUGGAAUUACAAGUUGUUGAUAGAAACAAGGCUGACAAGCGGUAUAAAUUAUGUCCGCUAAGAAACACCCUGCGUAUCUAGGAUCAAAGAAAUGUUACAUCGUUAGGAUAUCGAGCAGCCGACUAGCCGUGCAAUUACUCGAGCUGUGUUAUCGUAUCCCGAAUCGAAGUUGGAAGCUAUCGGUUUUUAAUCUAAAGGAAAACUUGGACUGAGAAAUUAAGGUCGAUUCUAUGCAUACUAACGUAUAGACUUAGAAGCAACGACAUAAAUCUCAGAAUCAGGGAUUUAAUUCUAAUUGAUUUACAGAUUGAUUUCCCCUGUUUAUACGUAGCUAAGGAGAGAUAUUCUAGAAACGGGAAGGUGCCCGUUUCGGUGUUGCAUGUUUGCCAGGAAUAAUGAGCACGGUCUCUGUUCACGCAUACACGCAGCUUGGACGAAACGAGCCUCGAGCCUCAAGAGUCUUAAGAACGAAGCGAAUAACAUAGCUGAGUGAGUCUAAAACACCCACCAUUCUUUCUUACGCCGUUUCUUUCGAUUUAUGAGAGCCUAUUUGCGGUUUUCUUUAUUGCACUGCGUGGGGUAGGCUUGUUAACUUGUUCAUCUUGUUAGCUGC